rnacentral:rRNA from 1 species
UACGUAGGGUGCAAGCGUUGUCCGGAAUCAUUGGGCGUAAAGCGCGCGUAGGCGGCCCGAUAAGUCCUCUGUAAAAGUCAACGGCUCAACUGUUGAAAGCCGGUGGAUACUGUCGGGCUAGAGUACGGAAGAGGCAAGUGGAAUUCCUGGUGUAGCGGUGGAAUGCGCAGAUAUCAGGAGGAACACCUAUAGCGAAGGCAGCUUGCUGGGACGUUACUGACGCUAAGGCGCGAAAGCGUGGGGAGCAAACAGG